GGCCCGGUAGCUCAGUCGGUAGAGCACUUGAUUGAAGCUCAAGGUGUCGGCAGUUCGAUUCUGUCCCGGGCCA
rnacentral:tRNA from 2 species